GAUGAACGCUGGCGGCGUGCUUAACACAUGCAAGUCGAACGAAGACAUCUGAGUGCUUGCACUUGGAUGGACUGAGUGGCGGACGGGUGAGUAACGCGUGGGUAACCUGCCUUAUACAGGGGGAUAACAGUUGGAAACGACUGCUAAUACCGCAUAAGCGCACGGUAUCGCAUGAUACAGUGUGAAAAACUCCGGUGGUAUAAGAUGGACCCGCGUCUGAUUAGCUUGUUGGUGAGGUAACGGCCCACCAAGGCGACGAUCAGUAGCCGGCCUGAGAGGGUGAACGGCCACAGUUGGGACUGAGACACGGCCCAAACUCCGUACGGG
rnacentral:rRNA from 1 species